GGGUUGUGAGGUUAAGCGACUAAGCGUACACGGUGGAUGCCCUGGCAGUCAGAGGCGAUGAAGGACGUGCUAAUCUGCGAAAAGCGUCGGUAAGGUGAUAUGAACCGUUACAGCCGGCGAUGUCCGAAUGGGGAAACCCAGUGCAAUUCGUUGCACUAUCGUUAACUGAAUACAUAGGUUAACGAGGCGAACCGGGGGAACUGAAACAUCUAAGUACCCCGAGGAAAAGAAAUCAACCGAGAUUCCCCCAGUAGCGGCGAGCGAACGGGGAGCAGCCCAGAGUCUG
rnacentral:rRNA from 1 species